UUCAGAUGACGUAGCUCUGACGUCACCCAAUGCAGACGGAAGUAAAAGCAGUUUGUUUAUUUGUGCUGAUCCAGCAUCAAAAAGCCUAAAGUCUGAGUCCUUACGGUUGUUCCAGCCGUUCUAAUACAGAGAAAGAUAAACGUUAUUUUCCUGUUUCCAAGGUAGUCGGUCACAAGGGAGUUAAUUUUAAAAACUUUCAGGAAAAAGAGGAGAAAAGUGGAUCAACAAUCUACAGCUAAAAACAGGAGGUGUGAAAACUAACAACGCCAGUUUGCAGCGCCGAGUUUCUAACGGACGCAGUGAGGAAACAUGAAGCGGGCCGACAGCUGCUGGUGUCGGCGCUGCAGCAGCGUUUACCGCCGCUCAUCUGAAGCUGCAGCAGCAGACAGGUGGAACGGUGAGCAGGACAGAAGGUGACACGCUGAUGGCUUUUCUAAACGACGAACUGAUGACGGCUUUACUUUGAUGCCAGAUGAAUGAGAACGCAAACGAAACAGAGCCAACAACAGGCUUCAUGGAAACAUCACAAUAAACAAACCGAUUACAGGCAGAUGUCGACACGUUCGCUUCUGGAGGGAUUUCAACAUCGAUUACUUUCUGCAGGAUCCUCUCAAUCACGCCCACGUUCCUGUUGAGAGGCGUUUGUGCAGCUCUGCUCGCCGCGCCGCCGCUGCUGCAGAGGAGGUUUCACCUGAUCCCGGUUCAUCAAACAUCCAAAGCAUGCAACGUUUUUAACUUCACGGUUGAAGCGUUAGCUUGUAUUUUUCUUUGAGGGGAUGAAGGCAGAUUGUUUUCUGUUCAGAGGUGAGAAAACAUGACAAGCUUUAAGUGGAUCGAACAGAAAAACCGGUUCUCUCUGCACCUAACAAAGUUAUUUUAGGAGUCACAAUCAUUUACAGGGAUUUGAUGCUGCGGCACCAACACAGUUUCCUAAAAAGAGUUAAAGAUGCGUCACACAGCAGUCAGUUGUUAUAUUUAAAUAAAUCCAAUUUAACAGAAAAUCAGAGUGAAAUUA